rnacentral:rRNA from 1 species
GAUGAACGCUGGCGGCGUGCUUAACACAUGCAAGUCGAACGAAGAUGCCGGAGUGCUUGCACUUUGGCAGACUGAGUGGCGGACGGGUGAGUAACGCGUGAGGAACCUGCCUUGAAGAGGGGGACAACAGUUGGAAACGACUGCUAAUACCGCAUGAAGCAUAGGGGUCGCAUGAUCUUUAUGCCAAAGAUUUAUCGCUUCAAGAUGGCCUCGCGUCUGAUUAGCUGGUUGGCGGGGUAACGGCCCACCAAGGCGACGAUCAGUAGCCGGACUGAGAGGUUGAACGGCCACAUUGGGACUGAGACACGGCCCAGACUCCUACGGGAGGCAGCAGUGGGGAAUAUUGCACAAUGGGCGCAAGCCUGAUGCAGCAACGCCGCGUGGAGGAAGACGGUUUUCGGAUUGUAAACUCCUGUUCUUAGUGAAGAAUAAUGACGGUAGCUAAGGAGCAAGCCACGGCUAACUACGUGCCAGCA